rnacentral:rRNA from 1 species
GAUGAACGCUGGCGGCGUGCCUAAUACAUGCAAGUCGAGCGAACGGACGAGAAGCUUGCUUUUCUGAUGUUAGCGGCGGACGGGAGAGUAACACGUGGAUAACCUACCUAUAUGACUGGGAUAACUUCGGGAAACCGGAGCUAAUACCGGAUAAUAUUUUGAACCGCAUGGUUCAAAAGUGAAAGACGGUCUUGCUGUCACUUAUAGAUGGAUCCGCGCUGCAUUAGCUAGUUGGUAAGGUAACGGCUUACCAAGGCAACGAUGCAUAGCCGAACUGAGAGAAUGAUCGGCCACCCUGGAACUGAGACACGGUCCAGACUCCUACGAGACGCAGCAGUAGGGAAGCGUCCGCACUGGGCGAAAGCCUGACGGAGCAACGCCGCGUGAGUGAUGAAGGUCUUCGGAUCGUAAAACUCUGUUAUUAGGGAAGAACAUAUGUGUAAGUAAAUGAGGACAUCUUGACGGUACCUAAUCAGAAAGCCACGGCUAACUACGUG